rnacentral:lncRNA from 1 species
GUUCUUGUGACACUUGUUUUCAUACCUCUAGGGUACUAGGAGGCUAGAGGACACCUUCGUCGGAGCAAACGAAGGGUUUUGUUUACCGUUGGUGGGUUUGACUUCAUGAAAAUGGGGCGAAAUGGCCCCUAUGCUUUCUAAACUCUUCGUAAAGUAUUUUUAAAUGCAUUUCUAUGCUAAUUGGAAUUUAUGCGAAUUUUAGAACACCUAAAAUGCAUGCCUUAUGUGUAAGUUAAAUUUCACUCUAUAUAGU